UUUUUUUUUUUUUUUUAGUUUAUUUUUUUUCCAUACAUUUUUUUUCUGAACGAAUGUCAAGUAUUUUUUGGUGUUUGGGGGAGGAGGUAUGACAAAGUUGAAAAAAACACACAAAAAAGAAUACCUUCAAGUACAAACCUACUCACUUUUGGUACUUGAUGAAAACAAAGAAAAAAAACAAUUGAAUUGAACUUGUUUCCAUUUCAAGAACUUCUAACUCCUUGUGUUUGGGGGAGGUAUGUAGUGUUCAAUACAUCAGGUUUUGAA
rnacentral:ribozyme from 1 species